GACGAACGCUGGCGGCGUGCUUAACACAUGCAAGUCGAACGGAAAGGCCCUGCUUUUGUGGGGUGCUCGAGUGGCGAACGGGUGAGUAACACGUGAGUAACCUGCCCUUGACUUUGGGAUAACUUCAGGAAACUGGGGCUAAUACCGGAUAGGAGCUCCUGCUGCAUGGUGGGGGUUGGAAAUUUUCGGCGGUUGGGGAUGGACUCGCGGCUUAUCAGCUUGUUGGUGGGGUAGUGGCUUACCAAGGCUUUGACGGGUAGCCGGCCUGAGAGGGUGACCGGCCACAUUGGGACUGAGAUACGGACCAGACUCCUACGGGAGGCAGAAGUGGGGAAUAUUGCACAAUGGGCGGAAGCCUGAUGCAGAAACGCCACGUGCGGGAUGACGGCCUUCGGGUUGUAAACCGCUUUCGCCUGUGACGAAGCGUGAGUGACGGUACUGGGUAAAGAAGCACCGGCUAACUACGUG
rnacentral:rRNA from 1 species